UAUUUAGUGGCAUAGUUGUCUGAGUGUUGGACUGUGACUCUGGAGACAGGGUUCAAUUCCCUGCUUAACCA